rnacentral:misc_RNA from 1 species
UGUUACAUAGAUUAAUCACAAUGCAGUUUGAUUAAGCAGUGGGCAUCAUCACAUCGCAUUCAGAGGAAGGCUAUCUUAGAUUACAGAUGAAUAUGCAGACACCCAGCUUGGUGUUACAUACAUAGACUGGAUUUGGGUGAAAUUUAGCCGGCGAGGGCGCUGGUGUUGUAGACGAGGAGGGCGCCGCCGCCGAGGAGCCCGGCGAGGGUCACGGCCCAGAUCAGAAGCCCGGUGGUUCCACCAACGUAGGUGUCACCGGUGGGAGACCAUUCCUCCGGCGAGUAGAUUGGGCUGUAGCCGUCGACGUUUGCGCCGUACUUGUCAACGAAUUGGUACACACCCUUCCCCGUGCUCUUCCUGCCAGAUGCAUCAAUAUCGACUGACAUGCCACCUCCAAUCCCGUAGGGCUUGUCGGUCUUGAUCUUCUUCCCACCGCUGCAGACGAUGGCGAAGGAGGAUCCCCGGCGGGAGAUGGACGGAAGGCCCUUGGCCCGGGCCGGCGCCACCAGCGGCGAGGUGAUCAUGGAUGUUGCCAUCCUCAGCUUCAGCUCAAAUUUUUCUGCACCUCACUCUCACUGUUCUACCUGAUCUCUGAUGGAUGGAUGGAUGCAAAGCAGAGGUGAGAAGCAAUGGCAGCUCAAUAUAAUU